UGUAUCUUCCUGAGGCAGGAGGAUCGAACUCAUGUCUCCUUCCUUGGCAGAGAUGGGAAGUCCUCCUGCCAUGUCCUUGUGUUGCAAGAGUAACUUAUUAAGUCAACCAUCCUUCAAUUUGAAAACAGAGUAAUUUCUUGAAUGGGAGCUGAGCUGAAACUGGAUUCUCUUCUGGGACACUGACAUGUUUGUGACACCACCACGUCUCAUCAUUCCUCAGGAAUGUUGCUCCUUAGUCACUCCACGCUCUACCAACUUCCUGUGGAGUCUUUCUCAUGACAGUAUUGGUGUCCCUGCCUUAUCUGCUCUACUAGAUCCACUCUUGAUGUCAACAGUAUCUCAUUCAACGUGUACCCUCCAAGGCUCCUAACUCACAAGGGCUCCUCAGCCCAUGGAAUUUUCCAGGCAAGAACUCUGGAGUGGGUUGCCUCCACGGUAAGGGAUUUAGAUGUGAUCCUAGAAGCUACUGAAGGGACGUGUGUAACUCAAAAUGUUUUCCUGCCAUGAUGGAGAAGAUGAGGCAUUAUCAAGACUAACACUACAAUUUAACGCUUCAGAGGAGCAGUGUAUAUCAUUACUCCCUCUGUAGCCAAGCACACUAAUUAAUAUUUAUUGCACCUGUCAAGCCAGAAGCCACGGCCAAUCCAUUCGUGUGGCAGUUCAAUGGGAGACUGGACACCGUAUUUCUCCUUGGCAGACAUGUUUGGGUCAUCAGCAAAGACAGAAGCCCCUUUCCCCAGUGAGGCAUCGUAAAC
ensembl:lncRNA